rnacentral:piRNA from 2 species
UCAUAGAGCGAAGGAUAGCUAGCUGAUGA